UACGUAGGGUGCGAGCGUUAAUCGGAAUGACUGGGCGUAAAGGGUGCGUAGGCGGUUUGCUAAGACGGAUGUGAAAUCCCUGGGCUCAACCUAGGAACAGCAUACGUGACUGGCAGGCUAGAGUAUCGAAGAGGGGGGUAGAAUUCCACGUGUAGCAGUGAAAUGCGUAGAGAUGUGGAGGAAUACCGAUGGCGAAGGCAGGUCUCUGGGCUGACACUGACGCUCAUGCACGAAAGCGUGGGGAGCAAACAGG
rnacentral:rRNA from 1 species